rnacentral:rRNA from 1 species
AUUGAACGCUGGCGGCAGGCCUAACACAUGCAAGUCGGACGGUAGCACAGAGAGCUUGCUCUCGGGUGACGAGUGGCGGACGGGUGAGUAAUGUCUGGGGAUCUGCCCGAUAGAGGGGGAUAACCACUGGAAACGGUGGCUAAUACCGCAUAACGUCGCAAGACCAAAGAGGGGGACCUUCGGGCCUCUCACUAUCGGAUGAACCCAGAUGGGAUUAGCUAAUAGGCGGGGUAACGGCCCACCUAGGCGACGAUCCCUAGCUGGUCUGAGAGGAUGACCAGCCACACUGGACCUGAGACACGGUCCAGACUCCUACGGGAGGCAGCAGUGGGGAAUAUUGCACAAUGGGGGCAAGCCUGAUGCAGCCAUGCCGCGUGUAUGAAGAAGGCCUUCGGGUUGUAAAGUACUUUCAGCGGGGAGGAAGGCGAUGUGGUUAAUAACCGCAUUGAUUGACGUUACCCGCAGAAGAAGCACCGGCUAACUCCGUGCCAGCAGCCGCCGUAA